rnacentral:rRNA from 1 species
AUUGAACGCUGGCGGCAGGCCUAACACAUGCAAGUCGAGCGGAUGACGGGAGCUUGCUCCUUGAUUCAGCGGCGGACGGGUGAGUAAUGCCUAGGAAUCUGCCUGGUAGUGGGGGACAACGUUUCGAAAGGAACGCUAAUACCGCAUACGUCCUACGGGAGAAAGCAGGGGCCCUUCGGGCCUGGCGCUAUCAGAUGAGCCUAGGUCGGAUUAGCUAGUAGGUGAGGUAAUGGCUCACCUAGGCGACGAUCCGUAACUGGUCUGAGAGGAUGAUCAGUCACACUGGAACUGAGACACGGUCCAGACUCCUACGGGAGGCAGCAGUGGGGAAUAUUGGACAAUGGGCGAAAGCCUGAUCCAGCCAUGCCGCGUGUGUGAAGAAGGUCUUCGGAUUGUAAAGCACUUUAAGUUGGGAGGAAGGGCAGUAAGUUAAUACCUUGCUGUUUUGACGUUACCGACAGAAUAAGCACCGGCUAACUCUGUGCCAGCAGCCGCCGUAACAC